UACAGAGGUCUCAAGCGUUGUUCGGAUUCAUUGGGCGUAAAGGGUGUGUAGGUGGCACCGUAAGUCGGGUGUGAAAUUUCGGAGCUUAACUCCGAAACUGCAUUCGAUACUGCGGUGCUUGAGGACUGGAGAGGAGACUGGAAUUCAUGGUGUAGCAGUGAAAUGCGUAGAGAUCAUGAGGAAGACCAGUGGCGAAGGCGGGUCUCUGGGCCGAUACUGACGCUGAGGAGCGAAAGCGUGGGGAGCGAACAGG
rnacentral:rRNA from 1 species